rnacentral:lncRNA from 1 species
UAAAUUGCAUCUGGCGCAUCAGAGAAUCAGCUGGUGAUGUGGGAAACCCUUCAGAGUAUGUAACUAACUUAAAAAAAGAAACUGCCAAAUAAUUUUCACCAGCAAGAAAAAAGAGUUUCAUUUGGUCCACUUUUUCACUGACAUUUGUUGUCAGACUUUUAAAUUUCAGUUAUUCUGGAACAUAGGUCAAGGUAUCUUAUUGCAGGUUCAAUAUGGAUUCCCUGAAUGGCAGAUGAUAUUAAAUUUCCUUCUUGUGCUCUCUGGCCACUUAUAUAACUUUCUUUAUUAAAAUCUGUUCAAAAAAAAAAAAGUCUUGGUUCAAGCUUUUUGCUCCUUUAUAUAAUAGCUUGUCUUUUAGUAUUGACUUAUAGGAAUAUUUAAGAGAAUCUGCAUACAAUUUGUCAGAUGGAUGUAUUGCAAAUAUUUUCUUCCCAAUCUGAAGUUUGCCUAUUAUUGCUACAAUUUUAUCUUUAAAAAAAAUUACAUCGUGGAGUACCCGCUGUGGCACAGCUGUGGCGUAGGUCAAAGCUAUGGCUCGGAUUCCAUCUCUGGCCCUUUCCAUCUCUGAGACUUUCAUAUGUAUCAGGUGCAACUGAAAAAUAAAAUUAAAUUAAAUAAUUAUAUCUUUACUCAGCAGAAGAUUUUGUUAAUUUUAGUUUUUAAGGGUCAAGUAUUUUAUUCAUUUAUCAUUAGCAAUUCUGAGUCCGUGCUGAACGCAAAGAAACUAAGAUUUUCUCUUCUGUCUUCUUUUAGAAGCUUUAUUAUUAUUUUUUUUAUUUUAACUCUUGAGUCUGUGCUAUCUCUCAAAAGAAGUAGUGGGUCAUUUCAGUUCCAACCUUAACAAUAAAAAAUAAAAAGCUGAAAAUUACCUCUCUCCUGAAAGAAAAGCAAAAUGUAUGACGUCAAAAGUGAUGUAAACCAUCGAAUGAAGCAAAAAAUUAUAACCGUAUGGACAAUAAAUUAAAAAACAAUAUCCACUUCACUUUUUGCAAACUGCAGUAUUCCUAUGGGUAACGCGGAUAGAUAACAAAGUUUUAUUUUCAUUCAGCAUUUGCAGAACCUAAAGAGACAGGCUCACAUUUUGGAAAAAAAAUAAUAUGUCUAUACAUGGGUAUGAAUAUUUAUGUAUAAACAUACAUGCAUUUCAUCUGAAAAAUGUAUGACAUUUUGAAGCUAUCUCAUAGAACAAAAUGAUUUAUGAAUUGAAAACAUUAUUGCUUUCUUGGACUGGGAGGAUAAUUUCUCUAAUGGACCCUACAGCCCUUGGUUCUCUAUUUUCCAUCUGGAAAGUAACAGUGACCUGACCAUUUUGAGUCAGAAGGCCCGAUAAAAAUACCAAAGCCCAGGUCAUAUUAUUCUCUGAACUUUCUCUUUUAUUAAACAAACAAACAAAAAUCUAGGAGUUCCCAUUGUGGCCCAGUAGAUUAAGACCCAACAUAGUGUCUGUGAAGAUGUGGAUUUGGUCAUUGGCCUUGCUCAGUAGGUUAAGGAUCUAGCAUAGUCCCAGCAUAGCCAUGGCUGUGGUGUAGGUCGAAGAUAGAGCUCCGAUUCAACCCCUAGCUAGGGAAAUUCCAUAGGCUUCAGGUGAGACCACAAAAAGAAAAAAAAAUCUAAACACUAAAUAUAAAUAGAAAUAUAGAAAUGAAUUUUAUAAACUGAUGGGUAUUAACGAUUCAAACAUAAGAGAUCUAAAAUAUACUCUUUGCAUUUUGCAAGAAAGCAAGCAAAUAACUCUCAAAAGAAAAGGUGUUCAUUUUUUCCUGAAUGCCAUUUUCAAAAUUCCACUCUCCCUUCUCCUUUUGAAUCCACACUUACAAGCAUCCUGAAAUCUAGGGAGAACCCCCUGGGGUCUGUAGUUGAGGCUUCCUUCCUAUAUCCCAGGAGCAAAAGCAUAGGAUAAAGCUGUGGUUAGGAAAAUGAUGAUCUAAAGUGCUGAGAAAAAGAGGUGGAUGGGAGAGAGAGAGAGGAUGUGCUAAUUUGGGAGAGAAAUUUGGCUCACUUUCCACCAGCUUUUUAGACGCAUGAAGGCACACAGUGUUCCAGACUAGUGUCACAUGGACAAUUUUGUAUGUCCAUUAUUUGGGGUGCCGUUGAGGUCUGGAGACAGAGCAGAGCUUGGUAAGCCACGAUAACGAAGAUGUAUGAAACUACCAAACUCUGGGUUGUCAAAGAGAAUUCCCUUUCUUCAAUAAUAGCAAAAGAUGGCACUGGCAACAUGGCGGAGACAACGCUGAGAAGCGCAGGGGCCCAUGAAGCGCACAUGUGGACAAGAGAGAGUCCAUAAGAACUGGCUAAAUAACACACCGCACACCUUUCAGUUGGAACAGUUGAGACAGGCUGGGACCUGGGACCCUUGGCUGUAGUGGCUGCAGUGCUUGCAUCUGGACCAACACUUCCCGGAGGCACAAAAUACAAAGAAACGCUAAGGGACUAAAAAUGACUGCAUGCCUGUGCAGUUGGGGCAAGUUAGGGACAACAAGAUAUAAAAAAACUACAACUCCCAGCUGCCACUGCUGAAGAACUGAGUGCAAAAGCAAGGUGUUGGGAGCAAAAGCAGGAUUCUGCGCAUGCCUCCUGCACACACCACCAAAGGGGUGGGCAGGCCACCUAAGCCACCCCUCUGGCUGAACCCUGGGCCCACCCCUACCUUUGCCCCAUAGAGGGGACCAGCUCGCUUCUCUCCCCCCUUGGGGAGUGAGCCAGCAAGGGAACUUGCUGCUUGUUUCCUGCUGUGUGUCUCUCUCCACGCCCGCCCCCCACCCCCCCACCAUACCCCCUGCAUAAGGAAGUUCCUAGCUACAGCCGCAGGCUAUAGCCAACGGUCUAUGCCUCACCACAGCAACAUGGGGUCCCAGCCUCGUCUGCUCACAGCAACGCCGGAUCCUUAACCCACUGAGCAAGACCAGCGAUUAAACCUGCAUCCUCAUGGAUCCUAGUCGGGUUUGUUAACCCCUGAGCCAUGAAGGGAACUCCCAAGGAAGUCACUUUCUAGUGCCAGCUACCAUCCCGAUGCAGGCCACAUUGUUUCCGAGGCAAAAUCCCUCCUUCAGGGCAUUUCGUACCCUCACCAGUUGCCACACUGCCGAGCGGGAUGUUGAAAAUUUAAAGCAUAUAGCUUUAUAUAUAAUAGAAAAAGGUAAUUUUGGGAGUUCCCUGGUGGCCUAGCUGUUAAGGACUCAGUGUUGUCACUGCUGUGGCUCGGGUUGCUGCUGUGACUCAGGAACUUCCACAUGCCUCAGGUGUAGCCAAAAAAAAAAGUGUAAUUUUUCCAAUAGAUACACCUUUCAGUAUUUCAAUAUACUGCAUCCAUGAAAUACCAUAAUCCGUAUUUCACCCUCACUUUUCCACCAUCUGCUCUUCUGUAUAAUGAAUGAUGUGUUUUUCAUCUGGCAAAGUAAUUUUCCCAGAAGAAUUGUCACUUAGUUGAAAAAUCUUUGACCUGUGUCAACACAGAGAUUGAAGGGGGAAUGUGAUGAGAUUAUUGCAGUGGCUAAAA